UACGUAGGUGGCAAGCGUUGUCCGGAAUUAUUGGGCGUAAAGCGCGCGCAGGCGGUCCUUUAAGUCUGAUGUGAAAGCCCACGGCUCAACCGUGGAGGGUCAUUGGAAACUGGGGGACUUGAGUGCAGAAGAGGAAAGCGGAAUUCCACGUGUAGCGGUGAAAUGCGUAGAGAUGUGGAGGAACACCAGUGGCGAAGGCGGCGUUCUGGACUGUCUCUGACACUGAAGAACGAAAGCCAGGGGAGCAAACGGG
rnacentral:rRNA from 1 species